GAGAAUAUAGCGCAGUCCGGUAGCGCACCUGCUUCGGGAGCAGGGGGUCGCUGGUUCGAAUCCAGUCAUCCCGACCA
rnacentral:tRNA from 1 species